ensembl:lncRNA
CUCGUGUCCUUUUGGUUUUUCCUGCAGUGUGCUGGUGAGGAGAACUAUGUGGACAGCCGGACGGUCUACAUCGGACACAAGGAGCCUCCCCCCGGAGCCGAUGCCUUCAUUCAGCAGAGAUUUCCCGACAACAGAAUAGUUUCCUGCAAGUACACGUUUUGGAACUUCAUCCCCAAGAACAUGUUCGAGCAGUUCCGGCGAGUCGCCAACUUUUACUUCCUCAUCAUUUUCCUGGUUCAGUUGAUUAUCGACACACCCACAAGUCCGGUCACGAGCGGUCUGCCUCUGUUCUUUGUCAUCACAGUCACAGCCAUUAAACAGGGGUACGAGGACUGGCUGAGGCACAAAGCGGACAAAGCUGUCAACCAGUGUCUGGUCACCGUGGUCCAGCGCGGGAAGAAGAUCAGCAAAGAGAGCUGCAGACUCACGGUUGGAGAUGUGGUCUAUGUGAAGGAAGACGAGACUUUUCCGUGCGACCUCAUCCUCCUCUCUUCAUCUCGAGAUGAUGGAACGUGCUACGUUACCACAGCCAGCUUGGAUGGAGAGAGCAGCCACAAGACCUAUUACGCCGUCCAGGACACCAAAGCCUUCACCACCGAGGAGGAGGUGGACUCCAUCCACGCCACCAUCGAAUGUGAACAACCGCAGCCGGACCUGUACAAGUCAGUCAGUCCUUCUCGUUUUUGUUCGGUCCCUCACAGGCCGCUGGGGUCGGAGAACGUCCUGCUCCGAGGAGCCACGCUCAAAAAUACCAAGUACAUCUAUGCUGUUGCCAUCUACACGGGAAUGGAAACCAAGAUGGCUCUCAACUACCAGUCCAAGUCCCAAAAACGAUCCGCCGUGGAAAAGUCCAUGAACUCCUACCUGGUGGUGUACCUGUGCAUCCUCAUCAGCAAAGCGCUCAUCAACACGGUGCUGAAGUACAUCUGGCAGGCUGACCCCAACAGAGACGAGCCCUGGUACAACGACAGGACGGAGACGGAGAGGCAAAGACACAUCCUGAUCAGGGCCUUCACCGACUUCCUGGCCUUCAUGGUCCUGUUCAACUACAUCAUUCCCGUCUCCAUGUACGUCACGGUGGAGAUGCAGAAGUUCCUGGGCUCCUACUUCAUCAUGUGGGACGACGACAUGCACGAGGAGGAGCUGGGCGAGAGGGCCGUGGUCAACACGUCUGACCUGAACGAGGAGCUGGGGCAGGUGGAGUACGUCUUUACGGACAAGACGGGGACUCUGACGGAGAACAACAUGGAGUUCAUAGAGUGCUGCGUGGACGGACAGAUCUACGACGCUGACGCCAUCUGUAACGGACAGGUGAUGUCUGGAGCUGCAGACAUAGACAUGAUCGACAUGUCUCCUGGACCGGGGGGCAGGGAGCGGAAGGAGCUGUUUUUCCGGGCCUUGUGUUUGUGCCACACGGUGCAGGUGAAGGAGGAGGAGACGGUGGACGGGAUCAAACAUGGCAUCCACCAGGGAAAGCCCUCCUCCUUCUACAUCUCCUCGUCGCCGGAUGAAGUCGCUCUAGUGGAGGGCAUGAAGAAGCUUGGUUAUACCUAUCUGAGGCUCAAAGACGGUCACAUGGAGAUCUUAAAUAAGGAGGACGAGAUUGAGAGGUUUGAACUUCUGGAGGUUUUGUCGUUCGACUCGGUCCGGAGGAGGAUGAGCGUCAUCGUCAGAGCCUGCUCCGGUGACAUCUACCUGUUCUGCAAGGGCGCCGACUCCUCCAUCCUCCCCAGAGUGGUCUCAGGAAAGGUGGCUGAGGUGAAAGCUCGAGUGGAACACAACGCCGUGGAUGGCCUGAGGACUCUGUGUGUGGCCUAUCGCAGAAAUACGGCACAUUUUAUUAGAAUAAAAAGUGAUUUAAAACGUGUUUUAUCUUGGUUUUUCAGGCUGCAGGACAAAGCGGCAGAUACCAUCGAGUCUCUCCACAAAGCGGGAAUGAAGGUGUGGGUUUUGACCGGAGACAAGAUGGAGACGGCGGCCGCCACCUGCUACGCCAGCAAGCUGUUCCGCCGCGGCACCCACAUCCUGGAGCUGACCACCAAACGGGUGGAGGAGCAGAACCUCCACGAUGUCCUGUUUGAACUGAGCAGGACGGUCCUCCGGCCCCCUGGGAGCAUGACGCGGGACCACUGCUCCAGUUUGUCGACUGACUGCACCGACUACGGGCUGAUCAUCGAUGGAGCCACCCUCUCUGCAGUCAUGAGUUACAAAGAGAUCUUUCUGGAAAUCUGUCGUAACUGCAGCGCCGUGCUCUGCUGUCGAAUGGCGCCGCUGCAGAAAGCUCAGAUUGUGAAAAUGAUUAAAACUUCCAAAGAGCAUCCGAUCACGCUGGCCAUCGGAGACGGCGCCAAUGAUGUCAGCAUGAUCCUGGAGGCCCACGUCGGCAUCGGCAUCAUGGGUAAAGAGGGGCGUCAGGCUGUGAGGAACAGCGACUACGCCAUCCCCAAGUUUAAGCACCUGAAGAAGAUGCUGCUCGUCCACGGACAUUAUUACUACAUCCGCAUCUCGGAGCUGGUUCAGUACUUCUUCUACAAGAAUGUUUGCUUCAUCUUCCCACAGUUCCUCUACCAGUUCUUCUGCGGCUUCUCCCAGCAGCCGCUGUACGACACCGCCUACCUGACGCUCUACAACAUCAGCUUCACGUCGCUGCCCAUCCUGGUGUACAGCCUGAUGGAGCAGCACAUCAACAUGGACAUCCUGAAGAAGGACCCCUCCCUCUAUAAAGAUAUUGCCAAGAACUCGUUGCUGAGAUGGCCCACCUUCAUAUACUGGACCGUUCUGGGGGUCUACGACGCCAUCGUCAUGUUUUUCGGCGCCUACUUCCUGUUCGAUAACACCACCUUCACCAGCAACGGACAGAUGUUUGGGAACUGGACGUUUGGGACGCUGGUCUUCACCGUGCUGGUCUUCACCGUCACCUUCAAGCUGGUCCUGGACACGCAUUACUGGACGUGGAUCAACCACUUCGUCAUCUGGGGGUCGCUGGUGUUCUUCGUGCUCUUCUCUCUGCUGUGGGGUGGAAUCAUCUGGCCGUUCCUCAACUACCAGAGGAUGUAUUACGUCUUCAUGCAGAUGCUGUCCAGCGGCCCGGCCUGGCUCAGCAUCAUCCUCCUCAUCACCGCCGGCCUGCUGCCAGACGUGGUGAAGAAGGUCAUCUGGAGGGCCAUGUGGCCCACCAUCACCGAGCGCAUACAGGUGAGUCCCGUCUGAACCGGCGGCGGCGGCGGCGGACGUUCACCCACGCUGACGUGUGCUGUGGCUCAGCAGGUGAACGCCGGGCCGUGCCGCGUCCUGGCGUUCCUGCACGUGAGUCGCUCCGCCCCUCCACGUGCGUGCGGUGCUCCUGUCUUCUCACAAACUCAAGAAUGGAUGUUUAUAGCCUCAAACCGGCAGGAUGUUUUAUUGAUGAAGAAAAUGAAUCAAAUGUGGCUCCGAUGUGGCGCCGGAGUAAAGACGAUCACAGGUGUCAAAGUCGAGGCCCGGGGGCCGGAUCCGGCCCUCCAGAUCCUUUUAUUUUAUCAAUGUCCCGAUGUUAG